rnacentral:tRNA from 1 species
GCAGAGUUAGUACAUCGGUAGUACGUCAGCUUCCCAAGCUGAGGAGGCGGGUCCGAUUUCUGUACUCUGCU